rnacentral:pre_miRNA from 1 species
AAUAAGUGCAGUUUUGUACUAUUCACGUUCAACGUUUGAUCGUUCGUCUUAUUUGAAAAAUUUUUAUGAUUAGUAUUUUUAUUGCUAUUAGAUAAUAAAACAUGAAUAGUACUUUAAACGUUGGACAUGGAUAUCCACAGCUGCACUUAUU